rnacentral:rRNA from 1 species
AGUGGCGAACGGGUGAGUAACGCAUCGGAACGUGCCCAGUAGUGGGGGAUAGCCCGGCGAAAGCCGGAUUAAUACCGCAUACGACCUACGGGUGAAAGGGGGGGAUCGCAAGACCUCUCGCUAUUGGAGCGGCCGAUGUCAGAUUAGGUAGUUGGUGGGGUAAAGGCCUACCAAGCCGACGAUCUGUAGCUGGUCUGAGAGGACGACCAGCCACACUGGGGCUGAGACACGGCCCAGACUCCUACGGGAGGCAGCAGUGGGGAAUUUUGGACAAUGGGCGCAAGCCUGAUCCAGCCAUGCCGCGUGCGGGAAGAAGGCCUUCGGGUUGUAAACCGCUUUUGUCAGGGAAGAAAAGCUUUGGGCUAAUACCCCGAGGUCAUGACGGUACCUGAAGAAUAAGCACCGGCUAACUACGUGCCAGCAGCCGCGGUAAUACGUAGGGUGCAAGCGUUAAUCGGAAUUACUGGGCGUAAAGCGUGCGCAGGCGGUUUUGUAAGACAGAGGUGAAAUCCCCGGGCUUAACCUGGGAACUGCCUUUGUGACUGCAAGGCUUGAGUGCGGCAGAGGGGGAUGGAAUUCCGCGUGUAGCAGUGAAAUGCGUAGAUAUGCGGAGGAACACCGAUGGCGAAGGCAAUCCCCUGGGCCUGCACUGACGCUCAUGCACGAAAGCGUGGGGAGCAAACAGGAUUAGAUACCCUGG